rnacentral:rRNA from 1 species
GUGGGGAAUAUUGGACAAUGGGCGAAAGCCUGAUCCAGCCAUGCCGCGUGUGUGAAGAAGGUCUUCGGAUUGUAAAGCACUUUAAGUUGGGAGGAAGGGCAGUAAGUUAAUACCUUGCUGUUUUGACGUUACCGACAGAAUAAGCACCGGCUAACUUCGUGCCAGCAGCCGCGGUAAUACGAAGGGUGCAAGCGUUAAUCGGAAUUACUGGGCGUAAAGCGCGCGUAGGUGGUUUUGUAAGUUGGAGGUGAAAUCCCAGGGCUCAACCUGGGAACUGCCUCCAAAACUGCAUGACUAGAGUACGGUAGAGGGUAGUGGAAUUUCCUGUGUAGCGGUGAAAUGCGUAGAUAUAGGAAGGAACACCAGUGGCGAAGGCGACUACCUGGACUGAUACUGACACUGAGGUGCGAAAGCGUGGGGAGCAAACAGGAUUAGAUACCCCAGUAGUCC